GUGAGGAAUUUUCCGCAAUGGGCGAAAGCCUGACGGAGCAAUGCCGCGUGAAGGAUGAAGGCCUAUGGGUUGUAAACUUCUUUUCUUAGAGAAAAAUAUUGACGGUAUCUGAGGAAUAAGCAUCGGCUAACUCUGUGCCAGCAGCCGCGGUAAGACAGAGGAUGCAAGCGUUAUCCGGAAUGAUUGGGCGUAAAGCGUCUGUAGGUGGCUUCAAAAGUCUCCUGUCAAAGAUCAGGGCUUAACCCUGGGGCGGCAGGAGAAACGCUGAGGCUAGAGUGUGGUAGGGGCAGGGGGAAUUCCCGGUGGAGCGGUGAAAUGCGUAGAGAUCGGGAGGAACACCAAAGGAGAAAGCACUCUGCUGGGCCACAACUGACACUGAGAGACGAAAGCGAGGGGAGCAAAAGGGAUUAGAAACCCGGGUAGUCC
rnacentral:rRNA from 1 species